rnacentral:rRNA from 1 species
UUUUUGGAGAGUUUGAUCCUGGCUCAGGACGAACGCUGGCGGCGUGCCUAAUACAUGCAAGUCGAGCGGAGUUGUGAGAGAGCUUGCUCUCGAUCAACUUAGCGGCGGACGGGUGAGUAACACGUAGGCAACCUGCCCCUUGGACUGGGAUAACUACCGGAAACGGUAGCUAAUACCGGAUAAGACCUUCUGGUGCAUACCGGAAGGCGGAAAGGCGGAGUAAUCUGUCACCAGGGGAUGGGCCUGCGGCGCAUUAGCUAGUUGGUGGGGUAACGGCUCACCAAGGCGACGAUGCGUAGCCGACCUGAGAGGGUGAACGGCCACACUGGGACUGAGACACGGCCCAGA